UUUUUUUAAGGUCAGUAUUUAUUUUUUUAUUUAUAAAAAUGUACAAUAUGUACAAAAUAUUACAUUCAAGUUUAUAAUGGUGUAUCUACGUUUAUAGUGAAUAAUAAAACUAAAACGUAAUUAACGAUAGCGAUUUCAUUGCCAACAUAUCAACCGCUUAAUCAAUCUUUUUCUCCGGUCUCUAGGUGUCUAAAGACAACCCGAAUCACACCCAAUCAUCUGUCCUUC